CAUUCACCUCUGAAGGAACUGGUGCCUACAGUUUGACCCCACUGCUGUCUCUGGAUCCACACGCACCUCGCCCGGCCAUCUAGAUGUGUGAAAGUUAGUGUAUAAGCGAAUGAUCCAUCAUGUAUGACAUUCCUGGGAGCGUGUAAACUUGAAUUCUUUAUUACCAUAGCAAUUUUGUAUGUUCUCUAUAGUUAUGUACUUAAUAAUGUAUCAAUUGACCAUUUAGGAACAUUUGGGCAAACCUCUAGCAGACUCGAUACAAAAUAUUGUGCAGUAAUGUAAUUCUUCACUGGAUCCGUCUGAAACAUUGCACACACACUGCUGCAUCCUAUCUGAAAAUAUGGCCUUUCUCUUGCAUUUCAAAGAUGAUGGAACAAAACAUUUUUUGAAAACGCACGUUUUUUUGUUUGCACAGUAUAAUAUUUUACUGUGAGGACAGACGCUAGGAGACGAGAAGCAAGGUGAUGGAGUCCAGGUAAGCUACUUCCAAAAGACCCACAAGCCUGUGAAGUUCUCUACCCUAGAAGAUCCCUAGAAUUACCUUACAAUCCAGUCUACAUUCUUGUGAAUCAUGAAGUCCUUGGCUCUAGCUUUAAUCCUGUGUGUGCUGCUUCCACUGUUCCAUGCUUAUUGCUACAUGAAGCCUAUGACCUCGAAGCCAGGCAUGAUUACCCAUUGUCGUGAUGACAAGGAUGAGACAUGGCAUCCUAUUGGUUCCCGCUGGAGGAACAGUGAUUGCAUGGACUGCACUUGUAAUUCAUGCUGCUCGGGGUAUGCAACUCCCGUAGAUUUUCCUGGUGAUUGCAUGAAGGAGUGGGACCAAAAGGCAUGUGAAUUCAAGGUGGUUAAGAAGAGUGAUCCCUCCAUUUCAUGCCCUAUCUUCAGCGCUGUGGGGAAGUGAAUUGUUUUCUUCACUGUGUUCUCAAUAUACAAUGAAUAAAAUACGUUAUACAAUGAAUAAAAUAUGUUGUCAGCUUA